rnacentral:tRNA from 1 species
UGGCUUAGUGGUUAAGAGCACUGGCUGUUCUUCCAGAGGAUCUGGGUUCAAUUCCCAG